AUGUAUGAUGGGGCAGAAGUAACAUGCUAUGAUCAGUUGCGUUUAACUAAAAGAAACUUCCAUGACUUAUGCACCAUGUUGCGUGAGAGGGCUGGUCUUCAUGACAGUGUCUAUGUUUCUGUGGAGGAAAAGGUGGCAAUGUUCUUGUUGGUAGUUGGCCAUGGUAUCAAAAUGAGGAUUCUGCGUGGCACUUACAAGCGCUCCUUAUGGACUAUUAGUACCCACUUUGACGAUGUAUUAACAGCGAUUCUAUCUCUAACCGGGGAAUUCAUUAAGCUUCCUGAUCCUUCUACUCAGCCAACUGAUGAUUACAAAUGGAAGUGGUUUGGCAAUGCACUUGGAGCACUAGAUGGGUGUCAUGUUGAUGUUUGUGUGCCCGUGUGUGACCAAGGGAGAUAUAGGAACAGGAAGCAAGCUAUCAGCACUAACAUGCUUGGUGUGGUUGAUUGGAAUAUGAAAUUUAUGUAUGUCUUGCCUGGCUGGGAGGGUUCAGCUUCUGACUCAAGAGUCUUGCGUGAUGCAAUGAGGUUGAGCCGCCAAGAUGCAUUUGUCGUACCACAGGGGAAAUAUUAUUUAGUUGAUGCUGGUUACACCAACGGUCCGGGAUUUCUUGCUCCAUUCAGAUCGACUCGGUAUCACUUAAAAGAGUGGGUAUCAAGUCAACAACAGCCCCAAACUCCCAAAGAGCUGUAUAACUUGCGUCUUUCUCGAGCUAGAAAUGUAGUGGAGAGAACAUUUGGGUUGUGGAAGAAAAAGUGGGCUUUCCUACGUUGUCAAUCUUUCUUUGACAUAAAGGACCAGGUAUGA
rnacentral:rRNA from 1 species